UACGGAGGGUGCGAGCGUUGUCCGGAAUUACUGGGCGUAAAGGGCGCGUAGGCGGCCUGAUAAGUAGGGGGUGAAAUCCCUUGGCUCAACCAAGGAAGUGCAUCUGAUACUGCCUCGCUUGAGUGUCGGAGGGGAUGGCGGAAUUCCCGGUGUAGAGGUGAAAUUCGUAGAUAUCGGGAGGAACACCUGUGGCGAAGGCGGCCAUCUGGACGAUAACUGACGCUGAGACGCGAAAGCGUGGGUAGCAAACAGG
rnacentral:rRNA from 1 species